AUACGGAGGGUGCAAGCGUUACUCGGAAUCACUGGGCGUAAAGCGCGCGCAGGCGGCUUGAUAAGUUGGAUGUGAAAGCCUACGGCUCAACCGUAGAACUGCAUCCAAAACUGUCAAGCUAGAGUCGGGGAGGGGAAGAUGGAAUUAGUUGUGUAGGGGUAAAAUCCGUAGAGAUAACUAGGAAUACCAAAAGCGAAGGCGAUCUUCUGGAACAGUACUGACGCUGAGGCGCGAAAGCGUGGGGAGCAAACAGGAUUAGAAACCCUAGUAGUCC
rnacentral:rRNA from 1 species